GGCACUAUAGGAGCUCACCUGGGACUCCACAGCACACAGCAGGCAGAGCCUGUGGUCACCCAGGCCACUGCUGCACCCAGGUUGUCAGGUUCCAGGUCCUGGGUGGCUUCUGGCCAUGCAGUAUCCCUCGGGGCUGGCGUGGGGCUUGGGGACAGUCCACGUGGGUGACGGGGUUGGUUACGUGCUGAGCUGACUGAGUGCCUGCUCCAUGCCAUGCUCAAGGCUCAGUGCUCAGCACGGUCCCCCCUCAAUCCCCACAGCAGCCCCGAGACUGGGAUAUGCUCAACUCCCACUUUUACAGGUGGGGAGACUGAGGCGCAGGACACGGGGUCACGUGCCCAAGGCAACACAGCAUCAGAGUGGUGGGGCAGGGGGCUUGGGUGCAGCCUGAAGCCCAACUGCUUCCCCAGGACCCCAGGCAGCUCCUGCAGGCUCCAGUGAGAGACCCCCACCCACCACGCGCCAUGGAAUCCUGAGCAGAGAGACUUGGCUUCCUGUGGAAGAAAGAGGCUGCACCCGAUUUGGACAACUUCUCUUCUGAGGUCGCACUGGCCAGGUGGCCCCAAGAGCCCAGGCCGCCCAGUGGCAUCUGGCCUCUGUAGUGACGCAUGCGCCAACGGACCCUUGGGGGGACCCAGCGCACCUGCCAACGUCACAGCAAGGGGCUGGCUGUCUUGUUGCUGGGAAGCCCUCAGCUCAAAUCCUGAGCUCCAAGUUUUAAAGAUCAGUGGCUCAGGCCUCCUGGGGGAGAGUACGGGGACAGAGAGAGACCCCAGAAGCCCCAGGUUCUGGUCCGGGGCCUGUCUGCCCCCUCUCUGCCUGGCGCCUCUAGGUCCAGUUCUUUCUCUCUCCCCCUUUGGUUUUCCUCGACCCCUCCUCCCCAGCACUGCUCUCCCUGCCCUAGUGUUUUAGGGCCCCAAUUAGUGUUGCCAUGGCCACGGCUGCUCCGCUGUCACAGGGCCUGGGCCCUCAGCCCACGGUGCUGGCGUCAGGUGACCGCCAGGCCGCCCUGGCCAUUGGCUGCCUCAUAGGAAAACAGUGCCUGGGGCGAUUUGAAAACCCAGCCGGCCGGUGUCACUGGCAGCGGUUGGCCCGGCUGCUGUCCCCGGAGCCCCAUUGUGUGACAAGCGACUGCUGGCCCCGUGGCACGUGGCCCCCAUUGUCCUGGGGUCUCGGUGCAAUUGUUUCUGUGCCCCUCCCCCUCCUGGCUGCUGCCUCUUCAGCUGGCUCGUAACUCAUCUGGCCCGGUGACAGCCACGGGCCAGGCCCAAGAGAUGCCAUCUGUGUCCCCUAGGCCCCUCAGCACGGCAUGAGGCGGAGGGGCAGGGCCCACCGUUGGGGACGCCUGGCCGGCCCCUGCCCUUCCUCCUCUUGCCACGCCGUGGCCAGCUGACUCAGCAGUGCUUGGUAAGGCAAGGCCCCUCCUGCUUAGGAACCUGCCGUAGCUCCCCACUGCCCUCACUGCUUUCCUCCUGCUCGCUAGAGACGAGCUGGAACAGAACCCCAGGUAGGGGUGAGGCUGACAGGCAGUACAGGGGGCGGUUAAGAGCAGGGGCUCUGGGUUCGGAUCCUGGUUUCCCCUUGUCUGUGCACCUUGGGAUGAAAAUAACCCCCUCCCCCAUCAGAUGUUGGAGAACCAAAUGGUUUUUCCAUGCAGCACACUUGCAGGGGUGUCUGGCGCAUGGCAAUUAUCGUACAGCUCUUAGUCCCAAUCCUGACGGUCAUAGUCACGUUACUGUUAGCCAGCCCUGGGGUCUGCAAGCUUCGUACAUAGGUCGCAGGGACCUGCCCUGCUGCCGCUCCUCACACUUCCCGUAUGCCAGACUGGGGUUCUGCACCAUCCCCAUUUUAUAGAUGGAGAAACUGAAACUGAGGCCUGGGAAGUCACUUAAAGGACUCCAAGCCUGUCUCCCCAUGGGUCAGGUGCUUAGUGCGCAAGGGCCAGAUCGAAGGUGCUAUCUGGUGACUGCCUCUCCAUCCUAACUGGGGGCCCACCGGGGUCCCCUUUCCCUUGGCCUCACUGCUCCUCUGUGGGAAGAGCCACGGCCUGCUGCAUCUACCCAGGGUGCACCUGCCCUGGUGCACCUAUGCCCGGCUGUGCCUCCAUGCCCCCUGCCAGGAAAGCUUUGCUUUUCCCUGCCCAUGCCCUGAUGCCAACCUCGAAAUCUGUGUCCUGGCCACCAAGCCUGGGAGGUCCCCAGUGUCACUGAGGCUACCCCUCUUCUUAAAUGGGAAACCGGCUGAGUGAGGGGGAGAACUUCCGGUUCCUCCCGCACGCUCAGGGACCCCGUGUGCAUCCUUACUGCUCCCUGCUCGCGGCCAGGAUGAGGCGGCCCUGCCCAUCUCUCUGCCCUCACCCUGCCUCCUGGCUCACUGAGCCUCGACCCUGAGCCCUGUGUCCUGCAUACAGCGAGUGCCUUUAAAACAGGCCAAGCCCAGGCUACCAGGCCACCAACCCUGAGAGUGACAUGACAAUGCAGAGGGAGUGACGGGGGGGGGGGGGGGACCUUCCAUCCCCAAAUGCCUAAAACUCCUGGAGUUGGGCCAGACCAAAACCAGAAGACCAGAACUCAACCCAGGUCUCCUAUGUGGGUGGCAGGGGCCUGGAGUACUUGAGCCACUACCAGCUGCUCCCCUGGGUGUGUGUUCGCAGGAAGUUGGCCGGGAAGUGGAGGCGGGACAAACCCAGGUGCUCAAACGAGGGGUGCAGGCAUCCCAAGCAGCACCUUAGCCCCUGUGCCCAAGGCCUGCUCCCCGGCUUGGCCCUUUUACAGCUGAUAGAGCAUCCGUUGUCUCUUCCGGGCCUCGCGGCAGUCCUAGGAAGGGGACAGGGAGCGGCCCAGGCCCACUUUAUGGAUGGGAGCACCAAGGCCAGUCCCCGCAAAGCAAAGCCCCUUUGCCUGGAAGCGAGGCAGCCAGGACUUGACCCUGGGCCUGUCUGCCCCAGCCUCGGGCUGCUCCCAGGGCUCUGCGGGCAGGAAUCUGAUGUCCAGGGGCAGAAGUCCCACCGAGCCCAGGGCUCUGGGCUAGGGCUCUGCAACCCAGCAUCUCCCGGAGGCCCACCCCAGGCCUCCCCACUGCCCUGGGGAGGGAGGACAGCCCAGAGAGGGCGGGCUGAGACUUGGGCAAGGAUCAACCCUCUGGGUGCAAGUCUGUGAGCCCUGGGCUGCAUGCCCUGGGACAAGUCACCGAGUCUCCGUUCCUGGGGUGGCUGAGGGGCUCUGAGAAGCCAGUGCAUGCUCCAUUGGGGGCAUGGGCCUGUCUCUCAAUCUGGGCUCAGCAGGUGUCCAGAGGUGGUCAGGUCCUCCCCUGUGCCUAUCCCCAAGCUGGGGCGCCUGGUGAGUGGCCCCAGCCAGCCCUGCAGGAUGCCUGCCAGGGAGCACUGUGGUGAGAGUCUGCUGGCUCCAAAGCCUGACUUGUUUCCCCCUGCCUCUAGGGUCUCCCUCAGACUUGGGGGUCUCUUCAAUAUAUGUCACAGGGGCUGGGGCUGAUGUGUCAGAGCCCUGGUGGGAGUGCCUCAUCCCCAUUGCCCAGCCCAGGCCCUGGGUGACCCUGGCCCCCUGCAGAGAGCUGCACCACAAGCCUCCCCCCAAAAAAACACCCUCCCUCACCAAUGCCUGAAGAUCACCCCACGUGCCAGCCCCGCUCACUCCUCGCACCUCCUGGAGGCAGCAUAACUACAGGCUCCACAGUGGCUGCGACCCAGCAAAGACUGUGGCUCAGGAGCUGCCCUGGCUUCUCAGCUGUACGUCCUUGGAAUGGCAUUUAACCCCUGGGCUCAGUUUUCCCACCUGUAAAAUGGGCAUGAGCGACAAUGCUCAUAGCAGCAGUACCUGUGCCUCCUAGGAUUGGCAUGAGGUAUGGGGGUGAAGUGGUUUUAUGAGCCAUUGUAGGAGAGAGAGAGAGACAGACAGACAGCCUUCUAGGCCGAGAAAGGACAGGACAUAUGCAAUUCAAAGAAAAAGACCAAGCCCAGCCUGGAGUGGCCCUGGUCCUCAGGGCAGGUCUGCCCACGCCCUGUGCAUUGUCUGCAGCUCUUGGCUAACCCUGGCCUGCAUGGCGCCACCCCCAGAGGUAGCAGAGAAGAAUCAAGCUUCCAAAGACCCAGCUCCCUCUGCCAGCUUCCUCCACUCUCUCCUUUCCUGUCCUUGCAGCUGAGCAGCCCCGGGCUUCCUGCUGGACGUCCUCCCAAGCCUUCCUGUGCCUCAGUCUCCUAAUCUGCAGAAUGGGUUUAAUGAUGAGGGAGGCAGAGCACCCACAGGAGCUCUUAACCAAUGCCCAUCCUCUCCCCCAGUCUCCCAUAGACCCUUCUCCAUCCUGCCCACCCACUACAGGCCCCAAAGCGUGACACUUGUGUGCCCACUACCCCAGUUGCCCAGAGCCACAGAGCCAGGCUUGAGGGAAGAAGGCACAGGUGCCUGCAGCUAAUGACCCCAGGUCUUGGGCCAGCUUGGAUGCAGCAAGGGGUGGGCCCUCUGUCUCCAGCUGCACUGUCCCCCGCUCACAUCUUGACUGUGCCUUCCUCCGUGCCCCCCACACCUUCUGUUCCCUCCCAAUGGACGCCUUUCCUUCCUCCUCUCUGUGUCUCUCUAUCCGACUCCUAUUUCUCCGACCCCAAGGGAGCACUCCAGUUGGCUUCAAGCCACUUCCUACUCCAGGGAGGGCAGGAGCUGCACCCCUAGGUCUAUGGGGGACUCUGAGAGUCCUUUCUGGAUGCAAGUGGCCCUAGGAGGCCCCCAUGGUGAAGCAGGGGCGCUCACAGCCCCCGAGGGAGGGCAUGUGGCUGGGCACACAGUGGGCGCUCAAUAAUUACUCAGUUUGGAUAAAGGAGCACAGAGCCGCAGCUUUCCAGGUGCCCACGCGGGGGCGAACAGCCCUGGCCUGGGGGCACAGCUCCCGAGGCUAAAACUGUGCAUGUGCUUGGUGACCAGCUUCCCACUUGCCAGAUGUGCACACCAAGGCCAGAGAGGCGCAGGCCGGUCGCAGGUCACCCCGCUGGGGGCGGUGGAGCCAGGACUCCACCUCUACCUCUGAGCCACAGGCCCCUCGUCCCACCUCCCUGCCUACAGACAUGUCCUGUGCGAAUUCUAGAAACCACAGCCAUGUGCUUGCCAACAGGUAGCCGCGAGCCAACCGCAGCCGCUUGAAGGACAAUGGAGGUUCAGUGACUGCGUGAUUUUCGCGUUGCCGUUAAACACCCGGAGCUGUGCUGAAAGCCAACAGCAGACUGUCACCUGUGUCACCCAUUUUCCAAGUGCCUGCUCUGUGCUUAUCACUCACCUGCUACCUGUGUGCCCUUCUGGGUUGUGCUGGGAAGGCUCUGGGCCCCUCAAGAGGUGCUCACCCCAGGCAGCGCUGGUUCAUGUCAUUGUCAACAUCCUGUGACCAACAAGGAGUGGGCUCCCUAGGGUGUCCCACAUUCCAUCCUGAGUAUUUCCUGAGCUGCUCUUUGUCAGGUCCUGGCAGGCUAAGCUCCCUGUGUCCAAUGAGAUUGGCCCUGGGACGCAAAGAGGAGAGAGCCCACCUUCCAGGCAGCCCCGGCAGGUCAGCUCCUUCCUGCUUUCCUGGCUGCUGCGUGUCGGCUCCUCUCAUCCCCACCGCGCAGACUGCCUGGCUGAGGCCCGGAGACACGCAGAGACAUGGCCAUGGCAGAGGAGCGAGCGCUCGCACAGGGCCAUCCUGCCACGGCUGAAAUAAACUACGCCGUGGGCAGGAAGGAGGUGGCGUCAUCAGAUCGUUGUUAAAAGGGCCAGGCUGUCGGCGUCCUGAUGGUGACAGGGCCACUGGUCAGGGGGGCCCCUGGUGCCCCCGGGCAAGGCGAGACACCGUGGAGUCCAAGGUUGUCAGCCCAAGUGAGCUGCACAGACAGCGCCCUCCGCUGAUGGGCUGUGCUGCCACAGAGGACAGGAUGAGUGGGCAGAGCCAGCAGGGCAGCACCCAGGGGCCCAGGGAGACCCUGAUGCCAGUCCUGCUCCACUCCCAGGGCAGGGACCUCGCACAGGGUAUGGAACGCCGUAGAACCUCAGAUCGCCAAGUGUCAAAUGGGGAGAGGAUGGGAUCACCCUAGUUGUUGUUGUUGUUUUAAUUUUCUUUUAUUUAUAUGAGAGAUAGACAAAGAGAGUUCCCACGUUCUGGUUC